rnacentral:snRNA from 1 species
GAAUGUGAGGGUGAUCUGGCUGUGACAUCUGUCACCCAUGACCACCAGGAUUGAUUGGCUUGAUCUGGCUGUGGUAGGGUGGUAAUCCUCUUCUCCUUCCGUCACCACUUCUAAUGUAUGUCCCUCCCUGAAGCUGUACACUGGAUUGAAGAGGACGUCAUCCCGUGGAUAAAGGAGGACCAUCGUCUGGUCAAGGGUCCAAGUAGCUGUACUCCCUCUAGAACCCAAACAAACUCCAAGAAUAAGAAAGAUGCCCAUUUUAGGGGGGGAGUAAGAGGUACUUGGAUAAACGCAGGCCUCCCAAUUGCAAAGCAAUUG